AAGGAAUUAGUUAAAUACUCAUAACCUUUGCCUGUCACGCAAAAAUUAUCUACAAGAUAUUCCUUA
rnacentral:tRNA from 1 species